UAUGACCAAACUGGCUGAAGUUAGUUCACAAGGAGACGAUCCUUCCCUAAUUCCCAAUAAGGACAGGGAGUCCUCACUCUUCUGAAAUGCCUUUCAUCUUGGCCUAGGAUCCCCAGGCGCAGAGACCAGUAACGAACCGGACUUGCUCAUUUACAACAAGGCGUGGAGGCCGCUCCAGCGUCAUCCACGUUGUUUGGACACCUCAGGGGUGAAGAGUCAGGGAACAGCACUGGACAGAAGACCUGAAGGAGAUGCCAGUGGAACACUGUCACAUUGGUGUGACAUUUCCUGAUGUGGCUUCUUGGCACUGGAAUUAAUAAUGGGGUAGCACUAACAAACCCAGCCCCGUGACCCAGCAAGUGGAAAGGGGCUCCAGAAAUAGCCACGGAAACUUCGAGAUGGGUGCUGAGAUCCCGCAGCGCUGUGGAUGGGGCCCACCCAGCGGGCGAAGUCAGUGAGCAUUGUCAGUGCUAAUGUAACUGAGGACAUUAAGAUCAUGUUUUCUUAGGUCUCGGAGCCAACAUAUUUAGUAACCACUGGGCCUGUUAGGACUUUGGCUGGCCCUUAACCCUUUUGCCACCUUCCUCCAGGGGAAAAAAAAAAAAAUUAAAACAACAUUGUACAACUUCAUGAGCGUAAAGGUGAAGAUAACUGAGCUGGAUUCAUUAUAAUAUGUUCAUUUUUUUCUUCUGAUUUUGAAAGAAAUAAAAAUUAAAUCGUUUGUGUGGUUUUCUAAAAUAAUAUGGGGCCCAGGCACUUUGCCCACUGUGACUAA